UGCAAGUCGAGGGGAAACGAUAUUGGAAGCUUGCUUCCGAUAGGCGUCGACCGGCGCACGGGUGAGUAACACGUAUCCAACCUGCCGAUGACUCGGGGAUAGCCUUUCGAAAGAAAGAUUAAUACCCGAUGGCAUAAUGAUUCCGCAUGGUUUCAUUAUUAAAGGAUUCCGGUAAAGGAUGGGGAUGCGUUCCAUUAGCUUGUUGGCGGGGUAACGGCCCACCAAGGCUACGAUCAGUAGGGGUUCUGAGAGGAAGGUCCCCACAUUGGAACUGAGACACGGUCCAAACUCC
rnacentral:rRNA from 1 species